GGUAGUCGCCACGGUCCGGCGGGUUAAACUGCCCCCCCCAGCAACAGGCGCGCCGGGCACACCCGUUCCGGCCCCGAAGCUUCCGCCCUCCAGUGACCCGCGGGCACCGCCGAACGCUGUGCUCCGGGUGGGUGCUCGAGGAACGCGAGGCCACCGCCGACAGGGUUGCUCUCUCACCUGGCUUCUCCUACCUGAAGCCUCCAGGAGCCCGAGAUCCGGGGAUCCUUCCAAUCAUUCACGCAUAUCAGCAAACUCUUACCAAGUGCCUGAAUCCAACCUCCUCUGAAGAUCUCUACCAUCAGCACUUGAUCUAAGCCAUCAUCGCUUACCUGGAUUACUGCAAAAGUAAGAUUCACCCUUGUCGAUGUAUGGCCCUAUGAGCUUUGGCCAAUGCAUAAAAUCAGGUUACUGGAGGGCUGACCCCAUCUCAGUUCCUGGGAUGAGCCUGAGACUCAGUACUAACGAAGCAGCAUGGUCCAUCCUUCUGGCCACAGUGAUUGGAUUGUUAGUGAGUAUACCACCCAAGUUGGCCUAGUCACAGCUAACGCUAGCAUAUUUCCCAGGGCAGGCAAUACAAGUGUACUCUUUGCCAUUAGACUGAAAUCUGGGCCUGGGCUAUGAUGAGACCUCAGGAGGGGAGCCCGGUCAUGGCAGAGUAGUGGCCCCCCAAAGAUGUUCACAUCCUGGAGCCAGUGCAGACUCUGUUACCUUCCAUACCCAAAGGGACU